CCCAGCCCUAGAAAGCUUGCAGGUAUGGCUGCCGUGUCCUAUACGCGUUAGGUGGUAGACAGGACAGAGGGCAUAUCUAGGCUCCAUGUUCUGACAGAUGAAUAGCUAAAGGAUUAGUAGCCUAACGUU